UGGGGAAUAUUGCACAAUGGGCGCAAGCCUGAUGCAGCCAUGCCGCGUGUGUGAAGAAGGCCUUCGGGUUGUAAAGUACUUUCAGUCGGGAGGAAGGUGGUAAGGUUAAUAACCUUAUCAAUUGACGUUACCGACAGAAGAAGCACCGGCUAACUCCGUGCCAGCAGCCGCGGUAAUACGGAGGGUGCAAGCGUUAAUCGGAAUUACUGGGCGUAAAGCGCACGCAGGCGGUUGAUUGAGUCAGAUGUGAAAUCCCCGGGCUUAACCCGGGAAUUGCAUCUGAUACUGGUCAGCUAGAGUCUUGUAGAGGGGGGUAGAAUUCCAUGUGUAGCGGUGAAAUGCGUAGAGAUGUGGAGGAACACCGGUGGCGAAGGCGGCCCCCUGGACAAAGACUGACGCUCAGGUGCGAAAGCGUGGGGAGCAAACAGG
rnacentral:rRNA from 1 species